CGGACUGUAGCGCAGCUUGGUAGCGCAUCCGCCUGGGGGGCGGGGGGUCGCAGGUUCAAAUCCUGUCAGUCCGACCA
rnacentral:tRNA from 4 species